UACAGAGGUCUCAAGCGUUGUUCGGAUUCAUUGGGCGUAAAGGGUGCGUAGGCGGCGCGGUAAGUCGGGUGUGAAAUCUCGGAGCUUAACUCCGAAACUGCAUUCGAUACUGCCGUGCUUGAGGACUGGAGAGGAGACUGGAAUUUACGGUGUAGCGGUGAAAUGCGCAGAUAUCGGGAGGAACACCGGUGGCGAAGGCGGUUCUCUGGGCCUGACCUGACGCUGAGGAGCGAAAGCGUGGGGAGCGAACAGG
rnacentral:rRNA from 1 species